GUUCAUUGUCGUUUGUCAGUUCUCAGUUUACUAGUGUCUCUUUGUGCUUCUCGUGGCUCCUUGUUUUUUCAUGUUGGAUUUUGAUAUCUCUCCUCCAGCCCGUCCUUUUGGUUCUCCAGAUCCUUCACUGAAUCCACGGACAGCUUCAGGUCUCCCUCCAGCUUCCGUUUGACUCGUUCCAGUUCCACCCGCAUCUUCUUCUCCUGACCCAACGAACUCUCCACCUGCAGGGAGGAAAGGAGGGAGACUGUGAGGAGCCAACCUCAUGAGACAGGGGCAUGCAAACAUCAUGGUUUAGCACAACACUUUGUGUUGGGUUUUACCUCAAUUUAUCUUAUUUGAGUAUUCUGAGUACUUUUAAAUCCUGAAGGACCUCCUGAUGGCCAUUAGAGGGGAUUGAAAGUUCUUUAGGGUGCUGUUAUGGUUUUUCAGGAGGUUUUAAUACUCAUAUUGGAUAACAAAAGUCUGGUUUUUGAUUUUUGAUCUCCUUUGGGUUUUUCUUGUUUUCCUUUUCUGUGGAUUGUCUUUGUAGUAGGCAGUGUUGUCAUACUCAAAACCAGGAUUAGGGCUGCCAGGCGAUAAAACAGAUAAAGAAAAAAUUUGACUGUUUGCGUUCACACUUGCAGCUCACCCAAAAACUUCUGGAGGUUUUAGGAGUUUUGUGUGAAAGCAAACUCUCAGAUGUGUCCUGCAGAGACCCUUGAGAUGAUUCUCUGGUCACUGAAGACACUUUCGAUGUUUCCUUGGAAACUUAAGUGGUCCUUUGAGGUAGCUGGACUUUAUGUUCAGUGACACAGGUCUGUGAGUCCUAAAGGGUUCUACUGGUCCUUUUAUUUCAGUGGUGUCUGAGAAGGUUCUAGAUCUAGUUAGUUGUAGGUCAGUAGGGAUCCUUAAAGAGGUUCAGUCGGUUCAUGCUGAUUGGCUACAGCUCUUGAGCUGGUUCAUGGUUCUACUUUUCUUGAAGGAAGUUUUAGUAGUCCUUUUGGGGUUUUAGUUGGACUUAAGAUAAAUUUUAGGUUAGGCUGUUUAUCAUCGAGUAGUCUUUGUGAAAUCGAGGAAAAUGACGAGGAGCCCUGAAACACCUUCUUAACAAACUGCAUUUAUGAUAUUCAACAAGAAGGACUUAGACAGACAGGCAGACAUGCUAAACUCAAAGACAGUCCUUCCAGUCUUACGUUGUCCACGUGCUGCUCCAGCCGAGUCUUGGCCUUGGCCAGCAUAUUGACUUUGUCGACCUGAGCCUGAAGAUCGUUCAGCGCCUGCUGAUGAGCUUCCUGCAGCGCACCUUUCUCUCUGGUAAGGGAGGCAAUAGAUUCAUCCAGAACACACAUCUCCUGAGACAAGUUCUUUACCUGAAUGGAAAGAAUAAAAUGUAUGACCUCA